rnacentral:misc_RNA from 1 species
AGAAUAUAUAUAACACAGAGUUGUUCAAACUUAUUUUAUAUUUUCUAGUAUUCGUGUGGGACAAGUUCUUAAUAAAAUAGAUUUUUUAACAAAUAUAAAAAGAAAAUAUAGUUAUUAAGUCAUUUUAAUCAACAACCUACGCACUUUUGUCAAUUUCUGUCUCAAAAUAAAAAAAUUAAUUACAAAAGUUUACAAAAACAAUCAACAACAGCGAUAUAAUGGCCAACAUUUUGGAAAAUCAAUUGGCUGGUCUAACACAAGUUAUUGAAAAACAAUUGGAUGAACAAUUGGAACGUUUCGAUAAUUUAGAUAAGGAUGAUCUUAAAACUUUAAGAGAGCAACGUAUCAGAGAGAUGAAGGAACUGAAUACAAAAAAGCAAGAAUGGUUAAAAAAUGGUCACGGCAAUUACACAGAAUUGGCCGACGAAAAGGAAUUCUUUGAAGUCUCGAAAAAAUCUCCCAAUAUUGUUUGUCAUUUUUAUCGAGAUUGUACAGAACGUUGUCGUAUUGUCGACAUGCAUUUGAAAAUUUUGGCUGGCAAACAUAUUGAAGCAAAAUUUUGCAAAGUAAAUGCUGAAAAAUCACCAUUUCUUACACAACGUCUACGCAUCAAAGUAAUUCCCACCAUAGCUUUGAUUAAGGAUAGUAAAACAAAGGAUUUCAUUGUCGGCUUUACCGACUUGGGUAAUUGUGAUGAUUUCUCAACUGACAUGCUCGAAUGGAGAAUAGCACAGUCUGGUGCCAUAGAUUACAAGGGUGAUCUGAUGACACCGCCAGAUGUUAAAAAGAAAACAUAUAUAAAUCGUCCUAGAAAAACUAUUCGUGGUGGUUAUGAUUCAGAUGAUUCCGAUAUUGAUUUUGAUGAUUAACCUGUUUUCACACUUAUCGAAAUAGUUUAAAAAGAAACUAGUGUUAGAGACUACUCAUUUUAUUUGUUUUCAUACAUUAGUCUGUUGUAUUGCCUGCCUGCCUUUUCUUUUUGCUGUUUUCCCCAAGUGUCUUCUUUUUCUUAAGCUCUGGUUUGAAAGUUUAAUAUUCAAACUUUAUUUGAUUAACAAAAUGCUUAUAAAUCAAAAUGUAUUCAACAAAAUUUGUUUGUUUAAUUGCAAGAAAAACCCUACAAAAACAUGAUAAUCUUUUUUUAUAAUAAUUUCUUACUAUUAACAUUCUCUUGAUUUUAGACAUGAAGUAUUUUUUCUUGUCUUAAUUAAAUUAAAAAAAUUCCUAGUUUUAUAACUACAAAAUUAAGUAUUGUUUGUGUUUUUUAUUUUUGCAAAAUGUCUUUUAUAAAAAGUAGCACAAAAUUAUAAUAAAAACAUUAUUAAUAGGAUUAAAACUAAAAAGACAACUUUUUCGUAGAAUUUAGAAUAAAACAUAUUUUCUUAAUGCAAAAUAAAAGUAAUAUACAUACAUUAUAAUAAGCAAAAUUAGCAACAUCAAAAAUUUAAACGUAAACAUCCAUAAAUGUUCAUAUUUACAUGGACUAACUAAUAACAUAUAUACAGCUAUUCAGAGGGUUUUAGAAAUAAAGACAAAUUUUCAUAAAACCAUCCAAAUGGGAAUUGUAAGCGAUUAUAGUCCUAAAGAAAUAGAACGUAUAUUUUCAUUUAAACAAUAGUGCAUACAUACAUAAUUAUAAAAUACAAAAAUUCCUAUUUUUAUAGUGUCAAAGAAUUAAAGCAAAAUAUACGAUAUUCAUUCACAAAUCAAAUUUGACUUAACAAAAAAAAAAAAAAAAAAAAAAAAAAACAAAAUCUCUACUUAUUUUAUUCGUUCUCUUAUUAAUAAAAUAAAAAAUAAUCUUAAUUUAUUUUUAUAAUUUUAAAAUGUAAUAUUUUUUUAAAUUAAAAUAAAAAAUGCAUGUAUAAGUUUUUUUAUGUUCAAAACAAAUAUUUUGUGGCUUUAAUCAUAGAUAAACAGAUAUGUAAAAUUUAAAAAUUAAUAACUUACAACAAUGCAGAAUACAAUCGUAAAGCAUUGAAACAAAAUGGAAUUGCUUCUUUUUUUAUUGAAAUUCCUUUUAUUGUUUGAUUACCAGUUUUCGAUCGUUGUGUAACUGAAUGCAGAAUAGGGGUGAAUAUAAUUGGGAAUUUUAGAUAUAUAAAUAGAGUUUUUAUAAUUAAAUUGAGGAUUUUUAUAUUGCAUUGGAAAAAUACCAUACAAAUUUUUAUAAAAGAAAGAAGCCCUAUUGUCAUUUUAUGAAUACAAUUUUUUAGAAAGUUUCUCCUAAGUUAUUAUAAUUGGAUAAUAAUUGUCAAUAAGAAAAAUUUGAAUUUUGUAAUGAAAAAAAGAAAUAUUUGUCCUUCUCUAUGCCAUACCAAAAGUACUCGUCAAUAAUUCUUGCACACAUAAUACUUUUGGCAAACGAACGAUUAUACUGAUAUUAGUUUAAAUCGGCCCAUAAUAUAACCUAAGCCCCAUACAACGGGUUCUUUCUAAUAUAAUUAAGGUUAACCCAGAUUAGUUCGACCUAUGUUAUUACAUAGAGAUUUGAAGCCUCGAACAAAAAUUAAUCAAAAGUAUUAUUUGGUAUCCAUUAAUUUAAUAUAUCUAACCUUAAACAAGGUAAGUAGAUCUGAAUAAAGGCAAGCAAUUGAUGCAAAUAACUUGGAAACUGCUAUACGAAAUAAUAAAUUAGAUUAGUGCGAGUCAGAUAAAAUUAUUGGGCUAUAGUUAGUUUGCAAUGGUACACAUUUUUUAACUGCAUUUUCGACCAGUUCCCGUAGAACGAUACAUAGAAAUUUAAACUUAAACUGGUGCCAAAUUUUAUGAUACAUUAAAGCCUGGUGUUAUAAAUGAUAUUUUUAAAUAAAGUUAUUCUCUCUUUCUUUCUUUCUUUCUUACAAUAAAUAUAUACCUUAUUUCUUAUUUAAUACAAAAUUGAAUUGAAUUUGGAAUGAAUUAAUUUCCUAUUCAUGUCAACAACCCAUCCCUGUUUUAAGUGAACAACAGAAAUCUGGUAGCACGCUUAAACGGCAGAUAACAAAAGUCAAAAACAGCUGUAACAUACACAAAACAAACUAAGAUAAAAAACAACAAUAAAUUACAUUUUAUCCCUCCAAAAGAAACCAUAAGAAAAACAAAAUAAUUAAAACUUUGGACCCCAAUUUUAAAACCCCUCCCUCCUACAAUUCAGUUAAAGAACCUGAAAAACAAGCAAAAGAAUACUAGUAGUAAAGUGAAAGUAAAUUAGUAUGGUUUUGGAUUGCAAGUGACAAAAACAGUUGUGCAGACAUCAGCGUAAAAGCCGGUUGCUUGGUUGAUUCAUUGAUUUUUAAAACCAAUUCGUUAUUCGUCCAAGAGUUGCUAUUGUACAUUUUGUGGAUACGGAAUAGCUAGUUUUGUGGGCUUGCUUAUACUAUGAUGAUGUGGAUGAUGAGCUCAUAGCAUCAUAAUUCCUUUUUACUUAAAACAAAAACAAAACAACUGUUUAGUUGUACUCAUCUGUGGUAAAUAAAACAUGCGCACGCACGACCUUAGAAAAUACAUAGUAAAAAAUCUAAAAAUCUCAACGAAACAGACACAGAAACACAGUAGAAAUGAAAAACUAGUUUGGAGCAAAUAAACAUUUAGUUUUCAUGGGGAGAAAAUACAUUUUACGGAAUUACUUGAGUUAGUUGUUCGUGGUUACGUGUUACGUUUGCAUUAAACUCAAUGAAAAAACGCUGGAAUAGAAAUUAAGCAAAGAAAAAAACUGUCAAGUGGUGGUGGUUUGUUAAAUACAAAGUUUUUUUGCUUAAUAUUUUAUUUUGAUGACGAAGUAGUAUAAAAAAUAAAAAAAAAAACAAAAAACAAAAAAAUAAAAUAAAAAACAGCAAAUUUAUGGAAUAUAUUUUUGAAAGCUGUGAUUCAAUACUUCAAAACUCAUAAAUUAUUAGAAAAAGAGAUAACGAAUUAUUAACAAACAAAAUAAAUUAAAUUAAAACAAAUAAGCUGAUUCUUGGCAAAAUUACGAAAAAAAGUGAAAAAUGCUAUAAAAUUACAAAAAAUCAAUAUUUUAGCAAAAAACUAAAAAAAACAAAGUCAUAUAACUAACUACAAUACAUACAUACGGGGUAAUAAAACACAUCAUACAUAUGGAUAUACAUAUGUACAUACUAUACUAAUGCUUAAAUAAAUAAUACUUGUGAAUCAGUCAGUACAUUUUUUUGUUCGAGAAUCCAAAAUUUUUGAGUUAUUGAUUUUCUCAAUUAUAAGACUACACAUCAGCUAACAAUAAUUCUUAUUUGUUAGGAUUAUUAUCAAAAUAAUAAGAACAUAAGGUUUCCACUAUUAAUCUUUACCCAUUUUUGACCUCUAACCCAUUUUUGUAAUGUACACGAGUUUACGCACACAUUUAAUUCAUAUUAAAUGCUCCGUUAUCUCAUAAAAUUCCAACAACAGCAACAACAUACACUUUAUAACCAUAGAGUAAACAUUGCGGGUAAUAAAGAAAUUAUAAUUUGUUCUUAAAUAGUACUUGUACAUUAGGGCAUAACUUUUUAAAUAUAUUUAUAAGCGUCAAAUUGGCAUGCUUAUAACCCUUUCACACAAAAAACUUAACCCAUGGAUUGUUUAUGGAUAUGAUGACAUUUUAUAUAUGUUUAGUAUGUACGUGCAUAUUGAUAUUUGAUGAAUAAUGGAAAUAUGAUAUUAUCCUUAUUAGCAUGUAGUGCCAUUAAAUUCUAAACAAUAACAUAGUUUUCUUUUUAAAUAACUAUUUACUGUAGUUGUAAAUAUUUUGUGAAA